ACAGACACCAUGUCAUUUGUGUCAUAACAUACGACACAAAUGACCCCCAAAAAAAUAACCAGAUAAAAUGACCCCACCCCCCUAAAAAAAAGAAAAAAUCUGGUCACCCUAAAUAAUUUAAUCUCCAUAAUCCCCUCGCCAAACACUGGCCAAUAGCAGAUCCCAUCGAUCAAUUUCCUGAACUAGUUAUUUUGGUCCAAUGUUAAUCCGUACUUUUUAGCGCAAAGUUAACUGGUGCUUGUGUCCUUGCUUGCUCAUGGAUACCUUUGUGUGAUCCUCCUCCUGACUAGUAGGAAGUGGGCUUUCAUAGUACGAAGCAGGUUUUCUCCUCAACUGCCAUUUCCCCCGCAAGCUGCUCUGUAACUGUCAGAGGACUAGCGCUAACAACAAAAUGGCAGUUCCGUUGAUGUCGCAUCAUCUCAUCUGGGUCCGCAAAUUGCCCAAUGGAACGAGUGAGUGCAUGGUGCACAGCACCAAUGUGCACAGCAGCAAACUAUUUUGUCGUCUAUAAACAUUUCUGCAAAUCAGCGCAUGAGAGAAGUAGACUGUCAACUAGUACACACAAUCAAAGCAAACAGAAAAGAAAAUCUUGUCAAUUAAGACGGCCUUUAGAUUGUAGCUAUAUUAAAAACCUCUCCGAGAGCUAAAAGUUGGAAAGCUAGCACGUCCGCGGGGAGAGGGGGUUCUUUAAAAGUGGCGACAAACGCAGCCUCGUUUAGCCACCGCUGGCCUCACUUGACGUCAACGACGAGCUUAGCACUGUGGUCAGAUUGGCAUCAACCUGGUUUUGUUGUGUUUGAUGUCAGUAACCCUGCAUAUGAAGCUGUUAGAAAUGAAAGUUUUUAAUGAGUCUCAUUCAUUCAAAUUAACAAGCAAGUUAAAAAGUGCCAAAGAAAGUGUGCAAAACUCAAGUGUUCACUAGGUGUCUCGAGUCCCAUUCGGUCAGUUCACACGUGAACAACAGCGUCGUCGUCCUCUUCCAGAUUGUCCACGCCUGGCCCCUGCCCCCCUCCACAGGGGUCCACAAUGUACCUGUAGUCUGCGCUGCCUCCGAUAGCCAGCGCGGCCCCGGACGCCACCAUCAGCCAGUCCUGCUCCUCGUCCUCAGCGUCCCGCUUCCAGGGGACGCUCAAGCCGUCACCCUCUCGUGCGCCGUCUGCCCCGCUGGCCCCCCUGCCCUCUUGGCCUUCUCCCUUCACGUUGACGUAAUGUAAGGACUCCUUGCACGGGACGCCGGGUGAAAAACUAAGCCGCAGCUCCUCCAGCAAUACCACCAGACGUUGGAACGUUGGCCGACAUUUGGGGACUGGACUCCAACAGCUGUGCAUCACGUCGUAACUGAGAGGUCAUGAAAUUGGUGCAAGAUGCAUGAAUCGCAUGACAUUGAGCUAAUCAAAACUGAGCCACACGACUAGAACUGGUAGGUCACAUGACAUCAUGAUAACACAGACUGCAGUGGUUAUGACACUAACUACAAUCUCAUGACAUCACUGAGCGGGUAUGACAAUGUUACGUCAUGGCGAGCCUGAAAGGUCACAAGACAGCAAGACGUCAAAAUGACAUUGUUACGAUGUCAUCACAGAAACUUGAUAAUCAUUAUGACGUUAUAGCCGAGAUCACAUGUCAGGUCAAAUCAUGUGAUGUUAUAUCAUGUGACAGUCACUGACGUGGCAUUGGCUUGAGCUGGCACAUGACAUAAUCCUUGCUGACAUGACACCAUAACUGAGGUGUCGCAUACAUCCCAGACUCACAUGUCUUGUCUGCACUCGGCAGGUUUCUUGAGGCGCUCUCCUCGUAUCAGGUACUCGUAGAUCUCAGAGUUCUCCACGCCAGGAUACGGCGUCUGGCCGCGGGUCAUCACUUCCCACAUGGUGACGCCAAAGGCCCACUGUGACACACACAAACAGGUUUAAAUCACCUCCGAUAGCCUCCGUGAGACAAGAAUCGAUGACAUCAUGUUUGCCUUCAUCCCGACCACUAUAAUGACUAUUUCAUUGAGUUGACGAUACCGAUUGCUGUGGGGCUAAAAAUAAAACGUAGCAGUACCACGUC